GUUCCUUGGAAAAGGACAGCUGAGAGGGUGACACUCCCGUCCGCCUAGUAGAGUGAGUCUUUGUCAACGAGUCGAGUUGUUUGGGAUUGCAGCUCUAAUUUGGUGGUAAAUUCCAUCUAAAGCUAAAUAUUGGUGGGAGACCGAUAGCGUACAAGUACCGUGAGGGAAAGAUGCAAAGAACUUUGAAAAGAGAGUUAAAGAGUACCUGAAAUUGCUGAAACGGAAGCGAAGGAAACCAGUGUUUGUUGGUUCAUAUUUCCCUUGUCACUUGUGAUGUGGGCGCUGUGAGCUUGCGUGGGUUUGCUUUGGUUGAUUCCUUUGGAAGAGCGCAGUCAGAGUUGAUGUCU
rnacentral:rRNA from 1 species